GGGUGACUCGGUAACCAACCGAUUGCGCAAUGCAUCAACGCUCUCCAUGACUGAGUAUAAAAGUCGGGACACUGCCCGCCUGCUCGCUUGCCCCUCCUGCGAAGGAGGUGGUGGUGGUGGUGGGUGGCUGUGCCCCCGAGUUGUGCGAUAAACAAAAAACAACUCUCAGCAACGGAUAUCUUGGCUCUUGCAACGAUGAAGAACGCAGCGAAAUGCGAUACGUAGUGUGAAUUGCAGAAUUCCGCGAAUCAUCGAGUCUUUGAACGCAAGUUGCGCCCGAGGCUUGACCGAGGGCAUCUCUGCCAGAGCGUCACCGCGACACCCACCAAACCACCACUCCACGGGUGGUUUGAGUGAAAGUGGCCAUCCGAAUGGGACCGCCCGGGGGACUCCCCGGGCGGCAGAUUGGGUUGGCUGAAAUGGAGGGAAUUCGGCCGCCGUGGCGACACAGCCCGCGAUCAGGUGAUCCAGGUCCCGCCGCCCACUCGUGGGGGGCUUCCUGGAACUCAAGUGUGCGUCGGUUGUGCCGCCCAGUUGGCUCCUACUCUAUCUAUUAACGAUGAGUUGAGGGAUUCCAAAGCAGGUCCCUCCCGACACUCAGCACAGUCCCUCCCCCGACAAAAAGGUGGGAGGGCCGAGUGGAGGGAGGAGAAAACGUCACGCACCAGACCUCUGAUCAGGGAAGACUACCCGCUGAGUUUAAGCAUAUCAAUAAGCGGAGGA
rnacentral:rRNA from 1 species